rnacentral:lncRNA from 1 species
GAGCAAGGACUAAAGGUGAGUACGAUCAAUCCUACAUUGAGGAUUCCAAGUUCAAUCCAUUCCUUAACUUUAAGGAAGACCAUGCUCAAUGACCCUUAACUCUAAGAUUGCAAUGUCAUAAUAUCUCAAUCAUUCUUUUCUUUGCAUUCUUUACCAACACUAGUGUCAUAUACACUACCAAGUUCUUGUACUCAUGCCACACUUGUUUUCUAAGUGCUAUGUUCUUGUUUUCAGGCCAAAUGCCACACUUGUUUUUCUAAGUGUUCUAGACU